AACGAACAUUGGCGGAAAGCUUAACACAUGCAAGUCGAGCGAGGCUUAGAGCCUAGCGGCGAACGGGUGCGUAAUACAUAGGAAUCUGCCCCGAAGUGGGGGACAACAACCAGAAAUGGUUGCUAAUACCCCAUAAUCCAUAUUUGGAAAGCGCGCAGCGCUUUGGGAUGAGCCUAUGGUCGAUUAGCUAGUUGGUGGGGUAAAAGCCUACCAAGGCGACGAUCGAUAGCUGGUCUGAGAGGAUGAUCAGGCACACUGGAACUGAGGCACGGCCCAGAGUCGUACUGGAGGCAGCGGUGGGGAGUAUUGGACAAUGGGCGAAAGCCUAAUCCAGCAAUGCCGCGUGAGUGAUGAAGCCCUUAGGGUGGUAAAGCUCUUUUGCCAGGGAUGAUAAUGACAGUACCUGGAGAACAAGCUCCGGCUAACUCCGUGCCAGCCGCCGCCGUAA
rnacentral:rRNA from 1 species